rnacentral:tRNA from 1 species
CGGGACGUAGCGCAGCCCGGUAGCGCACAUGCAUGGGGUGCAUGGGGUCGCAAGUUCGAAUCUUGUCGUCCCGA